rnacentral:rRNA from 1 species
GUGGGGAAUAUUGGACAAUGGGGGCAACCCUGAUCCAGCCAUGCCGCGUGAGUGAUGAAGGCCCUAGGGUUGUAAAGCUCUUUUGUGCGGGAAGAUAAUGACGGUACCGCAAGAAUAAGCCCCGGCUAACUUCGUGCCAGCAGCCGCGGUAAUACGAAGGGGGCUAGCGUUGCUCGGAAUCACUGGGCGUAAAGGGUGCGUAGGCGGGUUUUUAAGUCAGGGGUGAAAUCCUGGAGCUCAACUCCAGAACUGCCUUUGAUACUGAAGAUCUUGAGUCCGGGAGAGGUGAGUGGAACUGCGAGUGUAGAGGUGAAAUUCGUAGAUAUUCGCAAGAACACCAGUGGCGAAGGCGGCUCACUGGCCCGGUACUGACGCUGAGGCACGAAAGCGUGGGGAGCAAACAGGAUUAGAAACCCUAGUAGUCC